rnacentral:rRNA from 1 species
AUACGGAGGGUGCAAGCGUUAUCCGGAUUCACUGGGUUUAAAGGGUGUGUAGGCGGGCAUUUAAGUCAGUGGUGAAAUCUCCGAGCUCAACUCGGAAACUGCCAUUGAUACUAUUUGUCUUGAAUAUCGUUGAGGUUGGCGGAAUAUAUCAUGUAGCGGUGAAAUGCUUAGAUAUGAUAUAGAACACCGAUUGCGAAGGCAGCUAACUAAGCGAUGAUUGACGCUGAGGCACGAAAGCGUGGGGAUC